GCAGUCGAGCGAAUGGAUUAAGAGCUUGCUCUUAUGAAGUUAGCGGCGGACGGGUGAGUAACACGUGGGUAACCUGCCCAUAAGACUGGGAUAACUCCGGGAAACCGGGGCUAAUACCGGAUAACAUUUUGAACUGCAUGGUUCGAAAUUGAAAGGCGGCUUCGGCUGUCACUUAUGGAUGGACCCGCGUCGCAUUAGCUAGUUGGUGAGGUAACGGCUCACCAAGGCAACGAUGCGUAGCCGACCUGAGAGGGUGAUCGGCCACACUGGGACUGAGACACGGCCCAGACUCCUACGGGAGGCAGCAGUAGGGAAUCUUCCGCAAUGGACGAAAGUCUGACGGAGCAACGCCGCGUGAGUGAUGAAGGCUUUCGGGUCCUAAAACUCUGUUGUUA
rnacentral:rRNA from 2 species